rnacentral:rRNA from 1 species
AUUGAACGCUGGCGGCAUGCUUUACACAUGCAAGUCGAACGGCAGCGCGGGGGCAACCCUGGCGGCGAGUGGCGAACGGGUGAGUAAUGCAUCGGAACGUAUCCUGUAAUGGGGGAUAACGUAGCGAAAGUUACGCUAAUACCGCAUACGCUCGAGAGAGGAAAGUGGGGGAUCGCAAGACCUCACGUUAUAGGAGCGGCCGAUGUCCGAUUAGCUAGUUGGUGGGGUAAAGGCCUACCAAGGCGACGAUCGGUAGCUGGUCUGAGAGGAUGAUCAGCCACACUGGGACUGAGACACGGCCCAGACUCCUACGGGAGGCAGCAGUAGGGAAUCUUCCGCAAUGGGCGAAAGCCUGACGGAGCAACGCCGCGUGAGUGAUGAAGGUCUUCGGAUCGUAAAACUCUGUUAUUAGGGAAGAACAAAUGUGUAAGUAACUAUGCACGUCUUGACGGUACCUAAUCAGAAAGCCACGGCUAACUACGUGCCAGCAGCCGCGGUAAU